CAGUGAGUUCCACAAAUGCAACAGACACUUUCACAUUUCUUUGUGAAGGUCUUUGUUCACACUAAGUCCUCAUCUGGAAUGUCCUUACUCUGCUUUUACAUGGAAAAUCCUAGCUCAACUAAAAUAUCCCCCAUUUAUGAAGCCUUGGGUACCUUCCACAGCUGAACAUAAUUGCUCUUUCCUAUAAACUCCUAUAGCAUGUGGAGUAAAUUAAUAUGUUAGACACGGAUAAAGUUUUACAGUUCAAACUUCCUUGAGAAAUCAUGGUGUUAGAUGAUUGGGUUUUCAGUCAAAGAAACAUAACAUAAAUCGGGUGAAAUAAAAGAUGUAUUUAUUAGUUCAUGUAACCAAAAAUCCAGUGGCUGAGGUGGCUAAAUGCAGUGCCCAGCUAGUGUUCUCAGGGAUCUGUCUUAUUUCUUGGCUCUGGUUUCCUCCGUGUUGAUUCUGAUCUGAAACAGACCCUUCACUCAGCAUAAUAGGAAAGUGGUUUUCGGAAGCCCCAGAUUUACGUGGUAUUUUUAGUUCUUCAUCUCAGAAGGAAAGAAACCCUGUUCCACAGCACUGGUACCAACGUCUCUUUUCCUUGGGCACUGAUUGUCUCCGUUUGGGUCAUUUGUCCACCCAGGUUCUCUCGUUGUUUCUGGAACGUUGGGGUUCUUUGAUUCAUCAGUCCAAGCCACAUGCUCUUUCUGGGGAAGGAGACAGAGCCAUGUGAUGGAUAUACACACAAAACACUUCAGAAUGAGGAAGAAGGAGUCUCCAAAGGAAGUGAUAUUUAUUUAUUACAUUCUCUUUUGGAGAUUUUAAUUUUGCCCUUUGUUGUAGCUCACUGUUCAAGUGUGUCUUAGCUUUUUAAUUCUAAGCUUCUUCAAGGCAAGUAUCAACAUAUUCCAUGAAUGUUGGCUGAAGCAGUAAAUGUUAGCUGAGUGAGGAACUUACUAGGCAGAUAACAAAUGAAAUAGCAUCCGACGUUACCAUUUUAAUGGACUAAAGGGUUCAUUUUGACCUUUUCAAAGCUUCAUUAGUGAGUCUUGAGUUCUCAGAAAAUGGGAGAGGGGAAUUAGUAUUUAAGAUACAACUAAUUUAUUUAAAAUAUCAGAUCUCGAAUACUUCUAGCUAUGAUUUGGCUCAAAAACAAUUUAAAUUAGAAUGUUUUGACAUAGAAAAAUUGUUGCUUUUAGUAGAGAAAUAGUGUAUUACCAUUACGAAAACAAUACUACUUAAAACCUGCAUUUUCAAUCUUUCACAAUUAGGCAGUCAGUUUUGUUUUAUAGUCUUAGAAAGUAUGAGAUCUUGCCAACUGGAGUUUUAAAAUCUUCAAAAUGGAAAAUUAAAGAGUAGUUCCUCAUUUCUUUUCUUAGUAACUUUAAAUAAUCUAUGAAAAUGACCUUGCUUUGCGUGUUUUUGCUCUAAAUAGUCUAAGUGCUUUAUUUAAACUGGUUAUUUCAUUCUCUUGAUGCUACACAAGAAGGUUGAUCACACUUGGCCACAACACAGGCAGUACUAUAUAUUGUGAACAUCGAAUUUGUAUUGUUCCUUCAACAAGCUUUUAAUAAAGCAAUUUUUAAGCUUGUUUACAUCAAAUCUGUUCUAGAGGUUGUUUAGUGUAGAGGGUUAGCAUUCUGGAUUUGGAACAAGACUUAACCUGAUAGGAAAUCUAACCCUGCCACAAGGUAGCUCUGGGCAUCCUUAGAGAAGUUACUUAGGCUCACUGAAUUACUUUACUAAUCUGUAAUAUGGCGUUAAUACUGUCCGGCUCAGAUAAUUGAGAAGGUAAAAGGGGGUAAUGUGAUGUGGGUAUGGAGUGUAUGGGCCAUUAUAAAGGCUAGGUAUAAUAUAUGGGCUAUUAUCAUGAUAGCUGUUAUUGUACUUUGGUUGGUACCUAUUGCUUAAUCUCUAGAGGAAGCAAAGUUAGAAAUCCCUGGGAAAGAGCAUUUGUGCACUUGUAUUAAAAGUACUCCUUCUUAAAAUGGAAAGUAUUGCAUUUAAGAGACAGAACAAUGUCCUUAUUUCAUCCCUGAUAAGAUGUCCUGCUUUUAACCCUUGAUAGAUUCCACUGUUGCCUCUACUGCUUAACUCUCAUCCCACCCCCCACUCUGGCCUAAAUGCUCCUCUUCCUUAACUGCAGCCACUAGUAUUUUGUGACAAAAGACCCCUCCUCCAUAGAUGGACCAUGAGAACCACAGGGCCAGUCCCAGUGUGACUUUUUACCUCCCACAAGAAAAUAGUUUCCUACUCCAGUUGAGGUUAAAUUUAAUCUUUUUGGUGAAUGUAGGGCAGCUAUACUUUAGUUUCUUAAAUAAAAAAGAUGUGAGAUGAAGUAAGGCAUAACAUUUAGGGAGACCUACCCAGGCACCGCAGACUUCUAGUGAGGCCGCAGAUCUCAGAACUUCACUGUGAUUAGAACCAUGAUGGUGUUAGACUGACGAUGGCUUGCUUAACCUUACACUUGCCAUGAUUCUGGACUGAGCACACUGUUUCCUGUAAAGAAAAUCUCUGCUUCUUAUGUGCACACAGCAGGUGUUCAUCCUUGCACCAGUCCCUACUCAGUGCCACUUGCUGUUUAUAGUGAUUUUUGAAAUUUUUCAUUUUGCAAAAAUUUCAAACUUAUGGAGGUGUUGCAAGUUUAAAGAGAACUGUAUAGCUUUUGCCCAGAUUGACCAAUUUUGUUUUGAUUGAACACAUGUUAAAUUUUAACUCGUUAUUAAUGAGGGAAACACACAGUGUCACAACUGAUUCAAAGGUUUGUUUAUAGAUCAAAAAUAUGGAAAUGAAUUUGCAAAUGUAUGCAAAACUGGCUUUUUCCACAAAGGGGGAGGGAGGUCUGCUGUACCUCCACUUGACAGAAUUUUUGUACAAGAAUUGUCUUGCCUUUCUAUGAAGACUAAUUUUCAGCAUUUUGCCACAGAUCCUUUAUUCUGAUUAUAUUUUCCUUAAUGCUUUGAGCUUAGUUUGCAUGGCCCUUGCCCCAAUGACCAUAAUACCUUUAAUUCACUGGUAAUUCUGAGAGAAAACACAUUUUCUUAUAAAACCAUAGCAAGUUACUGAAUUUACAAAAUUUAACAUUGAUAUAAUAUUUUAAUCUACAAUUGAUGUUUUGUCAGUUGUUCUGAUAAUAUUCUUGUAUCUCUUUAGUUCUUUUUAUAUUUUCAAUAAAGUUUUGGAGUUUAUUUGUGGAAGUUACAGAAUUUCUGUAAUUGUGUGUUCUUCAUAUGAUAAUAUCCUCAGCUACUAUGUCAAAAGCUUACUUUAAAAAAAUGCAUUUUGAUUCCAAAUACUGGGGGGAAAAUAGCAAGCAUAUAUCAGAACAUCAAAGUAAGUCCCACCAUGCCUACAGUGUACAAAUAGCUGUUGAUGAGUUUGCCAUGCUUACUGAACUGAAUAAGUAUAAAAGCUUUGCGUGUGCAUUCCUAUUUUCAGGCCCAAUACAGUACGUUAACCUCAGAAUAUCAAAUUGAAUCAGGGGUUCUGAGAAGAGCCGUCUGCAAAGCAGUUAGAAUGACACUCUUCAUUACACUAUCUAGAUUCGGGUUUCAGGCAACUAUAACCAGACCUUUUCUAACCUCUCACCUACGGUGAGAUACGCACAGCUACCCAAGUUAGUGACUGCCUUCUGGCACGGGCCCUGUACCUCUUAAAGUGAAGUCCACUGAGGCCCACAGAGCCAAAUCUGAAAUUAUUAGGAAGAAGCUUUUCUGGAUGACAUUUUUUUUUUCUUGGUGAAACCCAAAUAAGUCUGCUUGCUGCACACACAGUAUGUCAGCACGUAUUAUGCAGUCUGGGGCUGAGUGGAUGUGUCAGCUGCCCAUUAGACCACACUAAAAUAGAAUUGCUGGGUGCCUGAAGCAUGAAGCAUGAUAUUAGAUAAAGUGAUGAAAUUUCACUCGAUUAAAGAGCCAGGUCAAGGACAGUUACCUCAGGAAAUUCCUUUUUUCCUCGAAUAUUCUCGCAACUUUGAUGAAUUUAUCGUUUUCUUGCUUAUUUUUCAUUAUCGUCUGGAACUUUAUGAACAAUAAAAUGUGCCCUCAGCAGGCACUGACAUAUUGGAGCGAUCAGAAUCAUAGGUUAUAUUGAUUCAAAGAAAGAAAGGGGGGAAAAAGACGGAAUUGACAUUGCCGCAGGUCAAAAGCCCUUGGAAAUGUUGGAUUGAUUUGUUUAGACAGUUGUUUGAUUUCUCACUCUCUUUCUCAUUCUCUAGCUCUUUUGUUUUUGUUUUUGUUUUUUCUUAAUAAAAGGAUAGGAAAAGAAGAGAAAAGGGUGAUCUUUUUUAUUUUAGGCCAGUCGAAGGAUAGGAACAGAAGCAUAUGGCUUGGCAGAAAGUUUUAUUUUUAUUUAUUUGAUUUAUAAGGACAGAAGAGAAAUGCUUCUUGCAAAGGGCUUCUUUUAUCAAAAAGACUUGCAGGCUGAAAAUAAAUGACUGCAUACCUGCACUGCUUCUUAAAUUUGAGUUGAAAAACCACAGCUAGCCAGGGUAAAGCAGUCUGGCUGUCCCUUCCAGUAGGAAAAAAAAAAAUUUGUAGUUCAUUCAUACUGUAUUCUGACUUAUUUACAGUAACAUUUGAGGAGUGAAGGGAAUGAGAAGUGAAUAUUCAGAUCACUUCAGUUUCCCCCUUAGAUCUUGAGGAUUCUCCUAGCCCCCCUCCUCCCCUCCCAUCCUGCCAGUGAGGGUGGAGGUUCUUAAGUCAGGCGGCAUCCAGGACAACCCUGAGGGAGCAGCACUGAGGCCAGCUAAUCAGAUCAUGUAGAACUCUAAUUCGAUUGGUUCAGCUGCUUCUUCUUUGGGCCAGAAAAUCCACAGUUGCAAAUGUGCUCAUCUGGGGAUUUCAGGACAUUUUGGAGGCAUAAGCUUUCAGCACCACUUGAGGGUCAUUACAAACCCCCAACUCAACAGAUGAUUGAGGAGCCUUAGUUCAAUAAAUUUCCCAGACAGUAUUUUAACUUUGGUGCUUUGAUUUCAUUCCAUGCUGCUUGAGUUUUUAGGUUCCUCUUUCUCCCUUCAUAAUAUAGGAAUAAUAUUAGCAUUUAUACCUCUUCUGGCUUAUAGGAUUAUAAUGAAGAUGAAAUAAAGGCAUCUGUUUAUUUACAGGUAUGUUGAGGUCCUACGAGGAAAAGUGUCAUCUAGAUUUCAAAUGGUGUCAUGACUAUGUUUUUAUACAAUAUGAAUUUUUAAUACUAGUGGACAAAGAAUUGGUGUGACCCAAUUAGCUAUACUUCCUUGGAAUAU
rnacentral:lncRNA from 1 species